rnacentral:rRNA from 1 species
CCUACGGGUGGCAGCAGUGAGGAAUAUUGGUCAAUGGCCGAGAGGCUGAACCAGCCAAGUCGCGUGAGGGAUGACUGCCCUACGGGUUGUAAACCUCUUUUGUCGGGGAGCAAAGCGAGUCACGUGUGGCCCAUUUAGAGUACCCUAAGAAAAAACAUCGGCUAACUCCGUGCCAGCAGCCGCGGUAAUACGGAGGAUGCGAGCGUUAUCCGGAUUUAUUGGGUUUAAAGGGUGCGCAGGCGGAGGUGCAAGUCCGUGGUAAAAUUGCGGGGCUCAACCCCGGACUGCCGUUGAAACUGCAGCCCUUGAGUGCGCGAGAAGUAUGCGGAAUGCGUGGUGUAGCGGUGAAAUGCAUAGAUAUCACGCAGAACUCCGAUUGCGAAGGCAGCAUACCGGCGCGCAACUGACGCUCAUGCACGAAAGCGUGGGUAUCGAACAGGAUUAGAUACCCGAGUAGUC